UGUGGACAAAAUGGGUUCUUCUAGACUCAUUAUUUUAUUGUGUUUGUAUCAUUCAUGGAGAGAAGGUAAAUUAACUUUAGUGUACAGAUAUUAAAAAUGUGUUUCUCUUGUUAACCUUGUGUUUUCUUCUAGUGCUCUGUAUUCUGACUGAACGUGCCUACCAUGUGUCUGAUUGGAGUGAUGCUGGGCAACUACUGCAAAAACACAAAGGACGGACUGAACAUGACUAUUUUCACUUCCCUGAGAAACCUAGUUCAAGUGCUCAUGUGAAGUCAAGUUCUUCCGUUUUCCUUCCAAAAUCUACUAUAAAGGAAGACAGCUUUUUUUCUCCAACCCGUAAAAAAAAAUAAAAAAAAAUAAAACAAAUCUUGCUCUCUUCCCUCUGAAAAGA
ensembl:lncRNA